ensembl:rRNA 5S_rRNA 5S ribosomal RNA
GCUUACGGCCAUACCACCAUGAGAACGCCCGAUCUCGUCUGAUCUCGGAAGCUAAGCAGGGUCGGGCCUGGUUAGUACUUGGAUGGGAGACCGCCUGGGAAUACCAGGUGCUGUAAGGU